AAUCACCUCUGCCAGCUCCCUCAGCACCCGUGGAUGAAUCCCAUCGGGUCCCAUGGAUUCCUAGCUGGGGAAGUUAGCAAGUGAUGAGGGAAGAGAACUUGCAAGAUCACAAAGAAUGUGUGAGGCCAGCUGGCUGUGUGCUGAAGUUAGAAUGGGGAAACAAGUUACUGGGGUGAAAUUUCCUGGGUUUCCUAGAAAGUUGUGCAAAACAAGGUUAUCUUGAAUCAUAGAACUGCUCCUAAGGAGAAUUGAGGGUGGAAGGGGAUUUUGUUGCAAUUGGAUAAAAUUUCCAGGGGUUUGUUCAAGUCUCCUUUGUGAGGGAAGGUAAGUAGAUGAUGCUAACACCUAGGAUGCAAUGGUGUUAAGAAGGGUAGGGCUAAGGAUCUCCUAAAGCCCAUUCAACCAAGUCUUGUCCUAUACAAGAGGGUGGGGAAAAAAAAAAUCACUGUUAACUGUGGUUCCUCAGUUGUUUAUUCUCAGAGCAGAGCAUAGCCCACAAAGCCAGUUGCUGUAAGAGCUGAAAGAUGACUUCUGUGUUUCAAGUUUCUCUACAGGUAGAAGCUGUAACAGAAGCCAUAGCUGACAUAUGGGCAAAUGCAGAGCCUGGUCCCAUCCACUUGAUUUUCAUACUUUGGACUGCAUAAACAGUUAUAAGAUGCCCU